rnacentral:rRNA from 1 species
UACGUAGGGUGCGAGCGUUGUCCGGAAUUACUGGGCGUAAAGAGCUCGUAGGUGGUUUGUCGCGUUGUUCGUGAAAUCUCACGGCUUAACUGUGAGCGUGCGGGCGAUACGGGCAGACUAGAGUACUGCAGGGGAGACUGGAAUUCCUGGUGUAGCGGUGAAAUGCGCAGAUAUCAGGAGGAACACCGGUGGCGAAGGCGGUUCUCUGGGCCUUACCUGACACUGAGGAGCGAAAGCGUGGGGAGCGAACAGG